AGUGAACGCUGGCGGUAGGCCUAACACAUGCAAGUCGAACGGCAGCACAGAGGAGCUUGCUCCUUGGGUGGCGAGUGGCGGACGGGUGAGGAAUACAUCGGAAUCUACUCUGUCGUGGGGGAUAACGUAGGGAAACUUACGCUAAUACCGCAUACGACCUACGGGUGAAAGCAGGGGACCUUCGGGCCUUGCGCGAUUGAAUGAGCCGAUGUCGGAUUAGCUAGUUGGCGGGGUAAAGGCCCACAAAGGCGACGAUCCGUAGCUGGUCUGAGAGGAUGGACAGCCACACUGGAACUGAGACACGGGCCAGACGCCUACGGGAGGCAGCAGGGGGGAAUAUUGGACAAUGGGCGCAAGCCUGAUUCAGCCAUACCGCGUGGGUGAAGAAGGCCUUCGGGUUGUAAAGCCCUUUUGUUGGGAAAGAAAUCCAGCUGGCUAAUACCCGGUUGGGAUGACGGUACCCAAGGAAUGAGCACCGGCUAACUUCGUGCCAGCCGCCGCAGUAA
rnacentral:rRNA from 1 species